rnacentral:rRNA from 1 species
GACGAACGCUGGCGGCGUGCUUAACACAUGCAAGUCGAACGGUAAGGCCCUUCGGGGUACACGAGUGGCGAACGGGUGAGUAACACGUGGGUGAUCUGCCCUGCACUUCGGGAUAAGCCUGGGAAACUGGGUCUAAUACCGGAUAGGACUCCGGCCUGCAUGGUCUGGGGUGGAAAGCUUUUGCGGUGUGGGAUGGGCCCGCGGCCUAUCAGCUUGUUGGUGGGGUGAUGGCCUACCAAGGCGACGACGGGUAGCCGGCCUGAGAGGGUGACCGGCCACACUGGGACUGAGAUACGGCCCAGACUCCUACGGGAGGCAGCAGUGGGGAAUAUUGCACAAUGGGCGCAAGCCUGAUGCAGCGACGCCGCGUGAGGGAUGACGGCCUUCGGGUUGUAAACCUCUUUCAGCACAGACGAGGCGCAAGUGACGGUAUGUGCAGAAGAAGGACCGGCCAACUACGUGCCAGCAGCCGCGGUAA